GGCCUGUUAGCUCAGUUGGUUAGAGUGCCGUACUAAUAACGUGGAGGUCAUGAGUUUGAUCCUCUUACGGGCCA
rnacentral:tRNA from 1 species